UACGGGGGGUGCGAGCGUUAUCCGGAGUUACUGGGCGUAAAGGGCGCGUAGGUGGUAUCGUAAGUCUGGCGUGAAAUUUCUCGGCUUAACCGAGGCAGGUCGUCGGAUACUGCGAGGCUAGAGGACGGUAGAGGCGUGUGGAAUUCCGGGUGUAGUGGUGAAAUGCGUAGAGAUCCGGAGGAACACCAGUGGCGAAGGCGACACGCUGGGCCGUACCUGACACUGAUGCGCGACAGCAUGGGGAGCAAACAGG
rnacentral:rRNA from 1 species